rnacentral:rRNA from 1 species
UCAGAUUGAACGCUGGCGGCAGGCUUAACACAUGCAAGUCGAGCGGUAACAGGUCCUUCGGGAUGCUGACGAGCGGCGGACGGGUGAGUAAUGCUUAGGAAUCUGCCUGGUAGUGGGGGAUAGCCCGGGGAAACCCGGAUUAAUACCGCGUACGCCCUUCGGGGGAAAGCAGGGGACCUUCGGACCUUGCGCUAUCAGAUGAGCCUAGGCCGGAUUAGCUAGCUGGUAGGGUAAAGGCCUACCAAGGCGACGAUCCGUAGCUGGUCUGAGAGGAUGAUCAGCCACAUCGGGACUGAGACACGGCCCGAACUCCUACGGGAGGCAGCAGUGGGGAAUAUUGGACAAUGGGGGCAACCCUGAUCCAGCCAUGCCGCGUGUGUGAAGAAGGCUUUCGGGUUGUAAAGCACUUUCAGUGAGGAGGAAGGCCUUAAGGUUAAUACCCUUGAGGAUUGACGUUACUCACAGAAGAAGCACCGGCUAACUCCGUGCCAGCAGCCGCGGUAAUACGGAGGGUGCAAGCGUUAAUCGGAAUUACUGGGCGUAAAGCGCGCGUANGUGGUUUGAUAAGCGAGAUGUG